CGGGGCGUAGCGCAGCUUGGCUAGCGCGCUUGGUUCGGGACCAAGAGGUCGACGGUUCGAAUCCGUCCGCCCCGACCA
rnacentral:tRNA from 1 species